GUCUACAGCCAUGCCAUCCUGAACAAGCCCAAUCUCAUCUGAUCUCGGGAGCUAAGCAGUUUUGGGCCUGGUUAGUACUUGGAUGGGAGACCACCUAGGAAGAACAGGUGCUGUAGGCA
rnacentral:rRNA from 1 species